GCGGGAGUAGCUCAGGGGUAGAGCAUCACCCUUCCAAGGUGAAAGUCGCGGGUUCGAAUCCCGUCUCCCGCUCUA
rnacentral:tRNA from 4 species